CAGUGUUGUCCACCUGGUUUAAAUCUCUGUCUGUUUGUCUCCUCUCUUCUCUGCAGGUCAUCAGAGCAGUGCUGGUGUCUCCUGUCCAUAUCAGACACAGUGUUGUCCACCUGGUUUAAAUCUCUGUCUGUUUGUCUCCUCUCUUCUCUGCAGGUCAUCAGAGCAGUGCUGGUGUCUCCUGUCCAUAUCAGACACAGUGUUGUCCACCUGGUUUAAAUCUCUGUCAGAUGCAUUGUGUAUUCUAUUUCCUGUCAGUGAUGUUAUCCAGGUGGAGUAUUCUAUAUCCUGUCAGUGAUGUUAUCCAGGUAGAGUAUUCUAUAUCCUGUCAGUGAUGUUGUAUUCUAUAUCCUGUCAGUGAUGUUAUCCAGGUAGAGUAUUCUAUUUCCUGUCAGUGAUGUUAUCCAUGUAGAGUAUUCUAUAUCCUGUCAGUGAUGUUGUCCAGGUAGAGUAUUCUAUUUCCUGUCAGUGAUAUUGUAUUCUAUAUCCUGUCAGUGAUGUUGUCCAGGUAGAGUAUUCUAUAUCCUGUCAGUGAUGUUAUCCAGGUAGAGUAUUCUAUUUCCUGUCAGUGAUAUUGUAUUCUAUAUCCUGUCAGUGAUGUUGUCCAGGUAGAGUAUUCUAUAUCCUGUCAGGGAUGUUAUCCAGGUAGAGUAUUCUAUAUCCUGUCAGUGAUGUUGUAUUCUAUAUCCUGUCAGUGAUGUUAUCCAGGUAGAGUAUUCUAUAUCCUGUCAGUGAUGUUGUCCAGGUAGAGUAUUCUAUUUCCUGUCAGUGAUGUUGUAUUCUAUUUCCUGUCAGUGAUGUUGUCCAGGUAGAGUAUUCUAUUUCCUGUCAGUGAUGUUAUCCAGGUAGAGUAUUCUAUAUCCUGUCAGUGAUGUUAUCCAGGUAGAGUAUUCUAUAUCCUGUCAGGGAUGUUGUCCAGGUAGAGUAUUCUAUAUCCUGUCAGUGAUGUUAUCCAGGUAGAGUAUUCUAUAUCCUGUCAGUGAUGUUAUCCAGGUAGAGUAUUCUAUAUCCUGUCAGUGAUGUUAUCCAGGUAGAGUAUUCUAUAUCCUGUCAGUGAUGUUAUCCAGGUAGAGUAUUCUAUAUCCUGUCAGGGAUGUUGUCCAGGUAGAGUAUUCUAUAUCCUGUCAGUGAUGUUGUCCAGGUAGAGUAUUCUAUAUCCUGUCAGGGAUGUUGUAUUCUAUAUCCUGUCAGUGAUGUUGUCCAGGUAGAGUAUUCUAUAUCCUGUCAGUGAUGUUGUCCCUAAUGGAAAGGCAUGUCAGAGCCCUGUCCUCCAGUGAGUCAUGUUUUCUCAUCUUUUCCAUUGUGAAUUUCAUCCGUUUCUCCUCUCAGAGGUAAAAGACAGUGAUGGUGUUUUCUAUCCGAUGCUUGUUAGCUGAGGAGGUCUCCAGCGGUCGGAGGAUGGUAUACCGCGGGGUGUUUCAGGAAGCGUCAUACAGCAAAGGACUGCUCAUCUUUC
rnacentral:lncRNA from 1 species